rnacentral:rRNA from 1 species
GACAGAGGGUGCAAACGUUGUUCGGAAUUACUGGGCGUAAAGCGCGUGUAGGCGGCCCUGCAAGUCGGGUGUGAAAUCCCACGGCUCAACCGUGGAAGUGCACUCGAAACUGCAGGGCUAGAGUCCUGGAGAGGAAGGUGGAAUGCUUGGUGUAGAGGUGAAAUUCGUAGAUAUUGGGAAGAACACCGAUGGCGAAGGCAGCCAUCUGGACCGACACUGACGCUGAGGCGCGAAAGCGUGGGGAGCAAACAGG